UACGUAGGCAGCGAGCGUUGUUCGGAGUUACUGGGCGUAAAGGGUGUGUAGGCGGUUGUUUAAGUUUGGUGUGAAAUCUCCCGGCUCAACCGGGAGGGUGCGCCGAAUACUGAAUGACUUCGAGUGCGGAAGAGGAAAGUGGAAUUCCUGGUGUAGCGGUGAAAUGCGUAGAUAUCAGGAGGAACACCGGUGGUGUAGACGGCUUUCUGGACCGUAACUGACGCUGAGACACGAAAGCGUGGGUAGCAAACAGG
rnacentral:rRNA from 1 species